ensembl:lncRNA
UUUUUUUUUUUUUUUUUUUUUUUUUUUUUUCCUCCUUGGCUGUGGCAUGCAGUGGCUUCAUGUGGGAUCUCAAUUUUUGGACCAGGGUUUAAACACAGGCUGUUGAAAUGAAAGUGCCCAAGUCCUAACCACUAGACCACUAGGAAACUCCCAGACCAUGGCUUAUUUUUGUUGAAUCUGUGAGCUAAUAAGGUUUUGAAUAUUUUUAAUGAGUUGUUAAUAAAAGAAGAAUAUGCAACAGACUGUAUAUGGCUUACAAAGCCUAAAAUAUUUACUAGCUGGCCUUUCAUUUAAAAAGUUUUUCAAACCAACAACAAAAUCAUUAUCCUCAUUGUCAACAUUGUAGUAGCUUAUAUGUAAGACAGUUGUCAAUAAUUCCUUCCCCUCUUACACCUGCAGACAAACUUCCCACCACAAGGUGAUAUCUCUCCUCCCAUCCUUGAGUCUGUGCUGGCCUGGGAGUUAUUUGACCAAUAGAGUAUGGCACCAAUGACAUUUGGUCAUCUGAUACCUAACUCUCCAUUCAGUUUCCACCUUAGUCUCUUGUAGUCCCAGAGGCACCCUGUCAACAGCUCAGUUAACCUGCUGGAGAUAUCACAUGGGUAGGCCCUAAGAGUUUUGGCAGUGAUGGAGUGGUACAGCACAGCCAUCCCCAUCCAGGUACCAGGUAUUAGUGGAAGAAACCUAGAUCUUUUAGAGCAUCCAAGAUGCCAGUGGAAUAUCACUAAAUGACUCUAGUUGAUGCAGCAUAGAACAGAGUAAUAUGCCAGUUGAACCGUGUCUGGAGAGACACACACAGUCAUGAGACAGAAUAAAAUCCUUGAUAUUUUAAGCUCCUAAAUUUGGGGUAGUUUGCUACACAGCAAUAGACAAUUGGAAUAGACCUCACAGUCAUCUUCAUCUUGGCCAUCACUGCAGACAGUCUCCAGAACUGACACUCCUUUGAGUCUUCUGAGACUCACUUUGAGAAAAUCUGAUUGUGAGGAUGUAUCUCUGCCUUCACAAAUUAAUGUUUUCAUUAAUUUGCACAGACCAUUCCACAAAUAGUAUGAAUUAGUGCAAUUCGACCUGGUAAUAUCACUAUUUUAUCAAAUACCAUCAUACACAGAGGGCUGUGUCAGGUGUGAUACACCUGCCAAGACAAGAUAGCAGCCCACACCUCUGAGCUGCUUAAUCUCUUAUCUCCAACUUGAUCAUGCAGCUUAUACUGCUAUCUAGAAGUGAUGAUUUCCAAAAGCUAACCCUCUGUUAUCUAGUUGUAGCAAAAUCUCUUUAGGGAGUUAUAAAAUCACAUCAGGAGGAAAAAAAAGAUCUGUACAUAUACACCAAAGCCCAGCACAUAACAGAUGCACGGUGAUUUUAUCUUGCGGCUGUUCAUUUCAGAUUCAGGAGGGCUGCAUUCCUUCACCACUGGAUGGUUGAUAUUUUCUCCUUGUUGUUGAUGAUUCUGCUGCCUAAGACUUGCAUAAGAAACAGGGUGCCCUGAUGGCUUGCUUUACCCUGUCACACUCCUGAUUACAAGUCCUUAGCAUCCCCUCUGUCUACAGAACAUCUUCUUUCUUUAGAUAUGUGCAUUUGCUCUUCCACAGUAUCGCCCAGCUUAUCUCCCCAUCUGCUGCCUGAAAUGUAAUGUCACUGAAUUUUCCUCGUUCAUGGUACGCACCAUGUUCUCUCAAAUCUUCCAUGAGCGUGCAUCCCUUCUUUUCUAUUUAAUGCACGUUGUCUUCUUAUGGCAUUUCCAACUCUGAAUUCAUUUCCUCUGGUUUGUUUUUCUGAUGCUCCAGAGGGAGUCUCCCCUGGCAUAUAUGCCUUUGUUACAUUUCUUACAGAUAAAAUGUAUCUUCUACAGGUUAUUUUUGCUUCUCCUAGUCCCCAUUUUUAAAAUCUGGGAAAUGAGAAUAUUAUUGCCUCCCUGCAGGCUUGUUGUGGGGACUAAAGAAGAUGUAGACUAUCUAGGUACCUGACAUGUGCUAAGGAAAUGGUCCUGUGUAAAUAUUGACUGUUUUUCUGUUUAUGGGUGAUUACUGGCCGCUUCCCCACCUCCUCCAUCACACUCUGUGCAUCUCUCAGGCAGGUGCUGGGUCUCUGUUCUUGUCCUAACCACAGUGCCUGUCCAAGACCUAUACUUGGUAGCUAAGUGUUAAAUACACAGUUCUUUCUAGUCUUCUUACUUAACCUUAUGAAUUGCUGGUUUUUGGUUAAGACAACUAGUCACUCAUGAGAGGGAAACAUUUAAGUAAGAGGAUAACAUAGCUAGAAAAGUCCUCCUUUAGUUUUAGAAUAUUAUAAUGUGCAGAAAACAUCAUGAUACCUGUGGUCAUUUGUGCACCCCCACUGAUGGUGACCAUGCAUGAGGCCAUUGCUGCUGGGUUAUGUUUUCUUGGGAGACAGCCAAGACCAAUCUGGGCCCCGUACCAGUUGUUUCCCCAAAUGAUUCAGUGUCUGCCUUGCAAGAAAAGAAGAGUGAAGACAUAACAAACUCAUAUUUCUUGCUGGUGUCAGAUUUAAGAAUCUUCAUUUUGAUUUUUUCUCGCUUGCUGUGUCUCUUCUUCCUACCUGGUAUAUAUAAAAACAGCACAUUGUGGUACAGCUUAAUUUAGGUACUCUUGCCUUCCCUACUAAUUGACUUUGGAGUGCUAAUUUUUUCUUAAUUUAUUGUCAAUUCAGCUGAGGUUUUAUUUGUAACUCUUUUUCAUUGUCUUGUGAAAUGACUUAGCCGUGGGCAGUAGCGAGACUCGUUGGCACAAGCUGGAUUUGUGGGCAGAAGGCUUUUAGUUGACAUGGGCCUUUGAGUUCAUUACCCUUCAGAGAAGUGUAGUUGGUCCAGGGUGCAUCUGCAAGCAUCACAUGGCUGUGAAACAAGAAUGAGAAAGAUCUCCUAGGACCAGAGAUAGCUAGAUUGCUUGGACUCCAGGCAGUAUAAGCUUAGAUGAUGGAUAUUAAGUUACAUGCUAGGGGAUACCGGUUGCUUGGCACCUGGAAACAUAGCACAAAAUAUCCUGUAGAAGGGAGGCCCAUUAAAGCAAAUUGUCCAUUUGGUAGAAAGUUUAGUUUGGGUUUGGUCCUUCCAGGUAAGUUGGGGGAACCAACAUCCUAGAAAACUCAUUGCCAAGAAAUCCAGAGAAAGAACUAGCAUCAUUCAUUGGACAACCUCCACUUGAAUUUUUGCUGCUGUUGUUGCAUCUGUCCAUUUGUAUCCAUAAAGCCAAAGCAAGAAAGUCAGUGAAGCAUCUUUGAUUUUCUAAACAUGUAUAACACAAAUCAGUCCAAAUGGCCUAUAAACAGAUGAAUAAAAUAAGAACUUUAAUAUUUUAUACCUGAAAGGGACCAUGAAUGAGUAGGUGUAAUAGGGAUGGAUUUAGAGGAGAAAUCUCAAUCUCGGAAGCCUCUCUUCCAUUUUCUUUUCUUUUUUUCUUUCUGUUUUCAAUGUCCACAACUACUGUAUUUCUUUCCACUUCUAUAAUGCUAGCACAGUGGUUUAUCAAUACAUAUUGUUGAACAUCUCUAUUAUAACACAGGGAGUUAUUUCUACUAGUAGAAGACAAAGUUACAACACAUACUCACCUCGGUAAACCAGCUCAGAUGAUGGCAGGACUAAGCAUCGGCUAUAAAUGUAGCUCCCUACAGCAGAGUGUAUUGGUGCUCUGCUUAUAUUCUCUGGCCUCUGCCAUUGUACCACACCCUGGCUGACUUCUCUGCCAGUUUCCACUUUUCUGUAUAAAGAAUUUUUUACCAAGCCUAUCCUGCUUCUGUACAUGGGAGACAGCAAUACCAAAAUAAAUGCCCCCUGAGAUCAGCCCCCAAUAAAUGAGUGAUGCAGACUCCACUGUCUCUGUUGGGGUGAUUUGGGGGUCACAAUUCUGUUGGUUCUCAGAGUUGGCUAGUAAGAUUGUUCUAAUCACUCCCAGAGGUAUCUUUAUUAAUGUCAUGCCCUCUCAUCUAUGUCAUUUUUCUUUUCCCUAUCUGCUACUAGAUUCCACUCCCCCUCCCGAAUAAACUUCUAGUCCUCUUAAUAUUUUCCCUAAUGCUGAGGUAAACCAAAUCAAGGCAGGCUCAGUGAAAACUUAUGACUCCACACAUCUUGGCAGAGAUCCCAGAAUUGAAAGAAAUGGUGUGGAGAGGUCCCAUGAAAAGAUGGCAUGACUAGGAUCCCAACCUUUAAAGGAAAUCUGGGCAAUUUUACUAGUGGUCCCUAUAUACCCCACAUAUAGCCAUUUUUAAAGCUAGCUGCUUUUUAGAAUAACCCCAAGGGAGUAGUUUGCUGACAACUUUCUUCUUGACUCUGGAUCUUUCUUGUACUCUCUAGUUGGAGGUGAAGAUAUCACUUUUCCAAUACUAAGAAGCUUAGAGCUAACCUCGAAUUUAUAAUCCUUUCUUGUCCCUUUUAAUCAAUUUCUCUUUGUUUCUAAGGUACCUACAAUGGUAGAAUGAAGGUACAACAAAAAUCUUCUAAACAGAGACCACAUAUCUGAAAUUGGAGGAAGAACAUUAAUCUGCAUUUUGAUAUUUUAACCUAGUAAUAGAACUAGGGAAUUAAAGACUCAAUUUUAGGAGGAACCUUGAGGAUCUUUCAUCCCAGACACCCAUCUCAUAUCUUCAUAUCUCUCUGAACUGCUGUUAAAUAGUAGGCAACCUGUAAAUAUUUUCUUAAUGUCUGUUUGAAUUGAUCGUGUCGUUCUGAUAAGCUUGAAUACAACUACUAAUUGAAAAUGGCUCCCUUCCAGAGCAAUCUUCUCCUUCCUCACAUAUCCUAAUUAGCAAGCCUUCCUUCUGCUCUCCUAUGGCCUCAAUCCAUCCAUCGUAGUUCUUCUUCUAAAGCUCUAAAAAAGAAGCUAAAAGUAGAUUUACCCUUCAAGCA